AUUGAACGCUGGCGGCAGGCCUAACACAUGCAAGUCGAACGAGUGGCGGACGGGUGAGUAAUGUCUGGGACACUGCCUGAUGGAGGGGGAUAACUACUGGAAACGUUAGCUAAUACCGCAUACCAUCAGAUGUGCCCAGAUGGGAUUAGCUUGUUGUGGGGGUAAAGGCUCACCAAGGCGACGAUCCCUAGCUGGUCUGAGAGGGUGACCAGCAACCUUGGAACGGAGCAACGGUCCAGACUCCUACGGGAGGCAGCAGUGGGGAAUAUUGCAAAAUGGGCGAAAGCCUGACGCAGCAAUGCGGCGUGUAUGAAGAAGGCCUUCGGGUUGUAAAGUACUUUCAGCGGGGAGGCGGUACCCGCAGAAGAAGCACCGGCUAACUCCGUGCCAGCCGCCGCGGUAAUAC
rnacentral:rRNA from 1 species